ensembl:lncRNA
UGAUCGGCGUGUCACGCAGGGAAAAGAAUCAGGCGGAUGAACAAAGGACAACCUGGAAGUGAUGAGGAUUUCGGGGCACAACGGUCGCCCGAGCGCCACGCAGAGUAAAUGAAGACAAACUAAACGAGGAACAUUUCCAGGUUAAAAAGCCAGAGGCCUCAACGACGCAUAUCGUACGUCUCUCCUUCUGAAGGAGGCAAACAACACCAGCUUGGCGACGGAAGUUUGAGCUUUUCCCAGCGCCGCACGUGGAACAAGCCGAGGCGGAGGCGAGCGACCACGAUUCCUCAAAUGUCUCCCCGCGAUCCCGCGAGGAACCUGCUGAUCACCUGAUCCAAAUGAGGCGGGGAAGGGAAACUCCUUGCCUUGAUCCGUGCGCGAGGAAAACAAAACCCCCUCAAAAAAACAGGAGGACUCGUAGAACCGCGGCAGUUGCGCUGCUAAUCUUGCGUAGCCGCGUCUCUGGCUUUCGCAUUACAGCGUCGGAUAAACAAGGCCCAACUUUGCAUUUGCUGAAAGGAACAAAGGCCGAACGACGAGACGGUGCAAUAAAAACAACCGGAUCGAAGGCAACUGGAAGUGAUGAAGGACUCGCUCACACUUACGUCGACGCGCGUUUCGAAUCACAGUGAUGUACGAUCCGCGGCCAUCAGCCAGGCCGACAUUGAUCA